rfam:Musa acuminata subsp. malaccensis Doubled-haploid Pahang (DH-Pahang) genomic chromosome, chr3
AGCAAAAUGAUGAGUCUUGUUGAUCUGAAGUUAAUGUGGAUAACACUGCAAUGGUCUUCAAAGUUCUCUGAUUGUU